AUUGAACGCUGGCGGCAUGCUUUACACAUGCAAGUCGAACGGCAACAGGCCGCAAGGUGCUGACGAGUGGCGAACGGGUGAGUAAUGCAUCGGAACGUGCCCAGUCGUGGGGGAUAACGCAGCGAAAGCUGUGCUAAUACCGCAUACGAUCUAUGGAUGAAAGCGGGGGACCGUAAGGCCUCGCGCGAUUGGAGCGGCCGAUGUCAGAUUAGGUAGUUGGUGGGGUAAAGGCCUACCAAGCCGACGAUCUGUAGCUGGUCUGAGAGGACGACCAGCAACACUGGGACUGAGACACGGCCCAGACUCCUACGGGAGGCAGCAGUGGGGAAUUUUGGACAAUGGGCGCAAGCCUGAUCCAGCAAUGCCGCGUGCAGGAAGAAGGCCUUCGGGUUGUAAACUGCUUUUGUACGGAACGAAACGGUCUGGGUUAAUACCCUGGGCUAAUGACGGUACCGUAAGAAUAAGCACCGGCUAACUACGUGCCAGCCGCCGCAGUAAGAC
rnacentral:rRNA from 1 species